rnacentral:rRNA from 1 species
CACGGACCGCACGAACGUUAUUCGGUAUCACUGGGCUUAAAGGGUGCGUAGGCGGUUUUGCAAGUUGGGUGUGAAAGCCCUCGGCUCAACCGAGGAAUUGCGCUCAAUACUGCCGAGCUAGAGAGAGACAGAGGUAAGCGGAACUAAUGGUGGAGCGGUGAAAUGCGUUGAUAUCAUUAGGAACACCGGUGGCGAAGGCGGCUUACUGGGUCUUUUCUGACGCUGAGGCACGAAAGCCAGGGGAGCGAACGGG